rnacentral:sRNA from 1 species
ACUGGGCACAGUGGAGUGUACCUAUAGUCCCACUUUCUUUGGAAGCUGAAACAAAAGGAUCACUUGAGCUCAGGAAUUCAGAGUCAGCCUGGGCAACAUAGUGAGAUCCCAUCUCUG